rnacentral:sRNA from 1 species
GGAUCAUUGUGGCUGUGGUCACUGGGAUUGCUGUAGCGGCCAUUGUUGCUGCUGUAGUGGCCUUGAUCUAUUGCAGGAAAAAGCGGAUUUCAG